UACGAAGGGGGCUAGCGUUGCUCGGAAUCACUGGGCGUAAAGCGCACGUAGGCGGCUUCUUAAGUCAGGGGUGAAAUCCUGGAGCUCAACUCCAGAACUGCCUUUGAUACUGAGGAGCUUGAGUCCGGGAGAGGUGAGUGGAGCUGCGAGUGUAGAGGUGAAAUUCGUAGAUAUUCGCAAGAACACCAGUGGCGAAGGCGGCUCACUGGCCCGGUACUGACGCUGAGGUGCGAAAGCGUGGGGAGCAAACAGG
rnacentral:rRNA from 1 species